rnacentral:rRNA from 1 species
AACGAACGCUGGCGGCGUGCUUAACACAUGCAAGUCGUACGGUAAGGCCCUUUCGGGGGUACACGAGUGGCGAACGGGUGAGUAACACGUGAGUAACCUGCCCACAACUUUGGGAUAACGCUAGGAAACUGGUGCUAAUACUGGAUAUGUGCUCCUGCUGCAUGGUGGGGGUUGGAAAGCUCCGGCGGUUGUGGAUGGGCUCGCGGCCUAUCAGCUUGUUGGUGGGGUAGUGGCCUACCAAGGCGGCGACGGGUAGCCGGCCUGAGAGGGUGACCGGCCACAUUGGGACUGAGAUACGGCCCAGACUCCUACGGGAGGCAGCAGUGGGGAAUAUUGCACAAUGGGCGCAAGCCUGAUGCAGCAACGCCGCGUGCGGGAUGACGGCCUUCGGGUUGUAAACCGCUUUCAGCAGGGACGAAGCUUUUUGUGACGGUACCUGCAGAAGAAGCACCGGCUAACUACGUG